AUGAUAUAUUUGAAAGAAUUAAGCAAGAGCAAGAAGAGAGAGAACAAAAGAAGCAAACAAAAGGUAGGAAAAUAAAACAAAAACAAGAGAUCAUACCAAACAGGUUGAACAAGUAGAAAAAAACACGUGUCAAGAAUGAAAUGAUCAUUAUGAUGAAGAUGUCAAUACAAGUGACUUCUAGGUAGGAUGUGACACUCCUGGAUGCUGCAAAUGGUAUCAUUAUUGGUGUUCGAACCUCCGACAAAUGCCGGAUGAAACAGAGCCCUUCUUUUGUCCGUGUUUCUCCAAAUAAUAGUUACUAAGUAGUCAGAACAUAUCCAACGACUACUAACACAACAAAGUAAAUUUAGCAUAGAGGCUACAGAGUCGAUGUAUAGUUUGUUUAGUAUCCUAUUACAGAACUGUCUCACAUUAGGGACAUCUCCCCAUCAUAUCUCGGUCAGUGCUUGCUAUCUCGUUACUACAACUUCGCUUGAGACGCAAGUCGUCUCUGUCGAUAGGCUCAUUAUAUGACUUCCUUUCGCCAAAUUGUUGGUUUUGUCUUGUCAACCUCUACUCUCGCAGACAACGAAGAAGACGGAUGACUGACUGGACAUAAUCUCUGUCACCUGAUCUCGAGUGAUUUUCUCUCUUCAAACGCAGACCUGAGGCGUUCUUUUUGGCUAAUGUUAUAGUCAUCACCGCUGGCUACUAGACCUACGGGGUGAUGUUAGUGCUCAUCGUACUGUUGCUGCAGCAGAACGAGACAAUACUUUGGACAUGCGGGAUUAUAUCUCGGUCAGUCACUUUUAUCGCGUUUCUACAAGACGAAUUGAGACGUUAGUCAUGUCUGUUGAAAGGGCGGUGAGAAAGGUGAUGGACCUACGGGACAUAAUCUCGGUCACAGUAUGAGCGCACUUGUUGGGUUCUACAGCUUUCAGAAAUUCUCUUAUGGACGUGGUGGAGGAGGCAACGAGAUCACAAUCUCAUUCACUACAUCCAGUUAAGCAACGUAGUUAUAUGAAAUCACCUGCUGCCGUUUCUAUGCCAUCAAUGAGACAACCUGCCAUCUUUGUUGAAGCAAUUGAAGCAAAUGCAGAAGAGCCGCCAGACAGAACAGUCACACAAACGUCUGUCACAAGCGAUCCAAUCUAUAAGCUCUGACAUUCCUGCAUGGAAUGACUGCAGAAUCCAAGCAAAGAAACAAACUUCAACAGGAAGAGAUAUGCCUGAUUGUGUGAAGAAAUUUCUAAUAGAACAUUCAGUUGUAUGUGGUUUAUGAAGAUGGAGUGAGAUAGAAAGAUAAAGUCGGAUAGAAAGCUCUUCAUGUUCUCCGUCUAUCAGUAGGAAUAAUAGUGACACAUCAAAUGGUCUUCCUCUGCUGUCAUUGUGGUCACGUGAUGUUACUCUACAGGUCACGUGAUGUUACUCUACAGGUCACGUGAUGGUUGUAACGCUAUAGAUGAGAACAAUCGUCUCCUAGUGUGAAGACUGAAUAUUUAAUUCUAGAUACUUUUAUUUGUUUAAGAGAUGUUUUGUAUUAUGAAAUAUAGAGUAGAAUGUAAAUAGUAAACAAUGAUAUAGAAUACUCUAAAAUAGUUAUGAUUUACGAGUAUUUCCGGGUAAGCUAGUGGAACGUUAGAAAUAUUGAUACAAAACUUUGUUGUUAGUGCGUUACAUUUACAAUGAUGU